rnacentral:snRNA from 11 species
AGCUUUGCGCAGUGGCAGUAUCGUAGCCAAUGAGGUUUAUCGGAGGCGCGAUUAUUGCUAAUUGAAAAAGAAAUCAGUCACUGAAAACUUACACAGAAUUAAGUUCAUCAGCCUUAAAGAAC